rnacentral:lncRNA from 1 species
GUUAAACAAAAAUAAGUUAACUGCACUAGUAGCUUCUCAUAAGCAUGCACAAUAGGAUAGCUGUGUACUAAAAUUGAAUAAUUCAAAAUAAAAUGAAAACAGAAAUGAGAGAAAAAUCAUACAAACAUUGCUGCAAUUCAUGCAAUGAUCAAAUGGAUGCUUCAAGCACCUAACCUAGUAUUUUAUGAGCAUCCAACAAAUCACUUGCAACAAAUACAAACAUUGAUACAAAGUCAUUUAUAUCUUUGAGCAUCUACGAUGCACUGUCUCCAUAACUAUUUGCAGCUUAGCACUUCUGAGCUCCAGCCUCCAAAACCUCAGGUGUUCAGGUUUCUAGAGAUUAUCAUUCCUGAAAGUUGGUUCAAAAUGGUAGUUAAAUAGCAGUUCAGCUCAUCUCUAAAAUCAAAAAAGAAAAACAAUUCAUUCUAAGUAGUUGACACGUGCGCCGUCAGGUCGCAGUUUGAUCGGCAGCACCCUGCUUCUGACGUCGCCGUUGAUACGUAAUGCCGACCAUAACAUCAACAUAAUGCAGUAUUGCAGGAAAUGGUAAACAAAUCACUUUUGAGUUAAAUUAUGCCUAGUUCAUAUAUCCAUGAGGAGUAAAAUUUCUGAAGAGUAGUUUGUUCAAUAUUAACACACAUUUCCAAACCAGCAGGCUGUGCACAUUAAGGACAGGCAACGACCACAAAUGCGUUAGCAGUAUGGAUGUAAGAGAGAUAUUUGCAAAUACUAUAAAAGUCCCAGCCAGCUGAAGAGAAUCAAAAUUUCAGGUAUAAAGUAGCAUACGGCAGACAUUAAGUUGCCCUGUUCAAGAACCAAAAAACUGCUAGCUGCAUAACUACAUAUCAAUUUUUACAGAAUUUAGUGUAUGUUUUUACAGAUUUUUUUUCUACAAUCCCCAUAGAGUUAUGAAGUGCAAAGAGUUUGCUGGAGCAAAAUAAUUAUUUUAACAGUUACAUCAGUAAUCAUGCCCUUGGAUAUCAUUAAAUGUUUCAGAAACUAACAGCUCAUAUAUCAUUUUAAUAAAGCACGCAACUUCAUCCUUCACUCCUGCUUUUAACCAUGAGCUUUUAACUAGCAUGUGGCACACUGUCACCUGCUUCAUGUGAGUAUACUAUGUUCUCUGUCUACUAAAAACUAACUUAUUUGUUCCAGUUAAAAGAAGACAUAAAACAACUAAAAGGCAAAUGCUGCAAUUGUGCGCGAGAAAGUCAUAAAAUUUCACACCUCCGCAGAAGUAACUAGAAUAGAUGAAGGCUUCUAUUUGGUUGACUUCUGAGUAUAACAUAUCUUAACAGUUCAUUGUAAAUAAAUCUGCCUUGUGGUUUGGGGCCAAAAUCUUAAAACUCAAACUGAGAAAAUAUCAACAAAGGUACAUUGCCUGACCAAACAAUGAUGCAUCAAGUAAUCUAGUAUUAGAGACGCAUUAAAACUAUGCCGGAUCAUUUUUUUUAAAUCGCCUGAUGAACCCUUGGCACUUAUCAGACGAUUAAAUCAUGAUCAGUCCAAUGAAUUGACCAUACUUGGUCCUAUGCUUUUGUAAUUCAUUACAGUACAACUAAAACAAAUGCAAAUUGCAAUACAAGAAAAUCAGAAAUCAGUCUGCCAUGCUCCACUCAUAAGAUUUCUCCGUAUUCUUUUUUGUUACAAAAGAACUUUGGUAUGGACUUAUCUGAGUUUACAAGCCAUAGCUCUGAAUUACUGAAUCUGAACGUAACCCUAGGUCGUAGCACUAACCAAAACCCUAGGAAGAACAAGAGGAGAAAGAAGAAUGGACUGACCUCAGAUCUCGAAAAGGAAGGCGUGGAGAAGGAGGAGGGCGGCACUAAGCAGGUCGCCGGGGAGGCUCGUUGCUGGCGGCGUGGGGGAGAGACGAGGGGG